UUAUCAAUUCUUUAUAAUUAGGUUCUUUAAAACAAUUUUUAAUUUACUGCUAUCACUUUCAUUAAACCCUAGCCGUCCUCAAGCCCCAAUUAUAUACUAAAAUUAUUCAUCUUUCAUUCCUCUCCAUUGCUGAAAUUGCAUCAAAUCGAGAUCCGUUUGUUUGAUGUCGUAGCUAACUCAAUCCUCUUCGAUUCUACGCUCGAAACUCGUUAUCGACUCUUCGACUACUCGCGCUCCGGAGUCGAACCAGGGUUAGCUGUUUGCCAAGAUCACGUGGAUAAGCAAGCAGUUUAUGAUUUGAAAGCUGGUCCACUCCGAUUCUUUUGAUUCUUCGGAGGUUUUUAUGUUAUUUAACUAGUUACUGUUUUCGAACUCUUAGACCGCAGUAGAACUAGUUAUUAUAUAUUACAAUUGAUAUUACACUUUGGGAUUAUCGAUUUGUUCGAUUAUUUAUUAUUGGCAUGAUUACCAUGGAUUA